rnacentral:rRNA from 1 species
UCCGUAGGGUGCGAGCGUUGUCCGGAAUUAUUGGGCGUACAGAGCUUGUAGGCGGUUUGUCGCGUCUGCUGUGAAAAUCCGGGGCUCAACCCCGGACUUGCAGUGGGUACGGGCAGACUAGAGUGUGGUAGGGGAGACUGGAAUUCCUGGUGUAGCGGUGAAAUGCGCAGAUAUCGGGAGGAACACCAGUAGCGAAGGCGGCACUCUGGGCCGGUACUGACGCUGAGGAGCGAAAGCGUGGGGAGCGAACAGG